AUACCCCGCGGAAACGUGGACUAACAUCCCAUAAGACUCUAGAGCCGCAUGGCUCUGGAUUUAAAAUUCCGGUGGUACGGGACGGGCACGCGCGACAUUAGGUAGUUGGCGGGGUAACGGCCCACCAAGCCGACGAUGUCUAGGGGUUCUGAGAGGAAGGUCCCCCACACUGGAACUGAGACACGGUCCAGACUCCUACGGGAGGCAGCAGUGAGGAAUAUUGGUCAAUGGGCGCGAGCCUGAACCAGCCAAGUCGCGUGAGGGAAGAAUGGUCCAUGGCCUGUAAACCUCUUUUGUCAAGGAAGAAUAAAUUGCACGUGUGCGAUCUUGCCAGUACUUGACGAAUAAGCAUCGGCUAACUCCGUGCCAGCAGCCGCGGUAAUACGGGGGAUGCGAGCGUUAUCCGGAUUUAUUGGGUUUAAAGGGCGCGUAGGCGGGACGCCAAGUCAGCGGUAAAAGACUGCAGCUAAACUGUAGCACGCCGUUGAAACUGGCGCCCUCGAGACGAGACGAGGGAGGCGGAACAAGUGAAGUAGCGGUGAAAUGCUUAGAUAUCACUUGGAACCCCGAUAGCGAAGGCAGCUUCCCAGGCUCGAUCUGACGCUGAUGCGCGAGAGCGUGGGUAGCGAACAGGAUUAGAUACCCUGGUAGUCCACGCCGUAAAC
rnacentral:rRNA from 1 species